AAGUCCACCUAAAACUUAAGGGCAUGGUGGAGUCUAAAGAUAGAACAUUGAUCAGUAAAGCCUUUUUUUAUGAUGAAAAAGAUCUUGAUAGUGGUGAUAUUAUUUCCACCCGUGCCCUUCGUGGCCUUUGUGAAAUAGAGUUAUGCUGUGAGCAGCUUGAACAUUCACACCAAGCCACUAUCCUCGGUGUUCGUGUUGUACGGGGCUCAUUGCCUUGUGGCAAUGGCAUCAAGAUCGUUUGCUCCGCACUACCUGAGGACAAAACCAAAGGCGGUGGUAAGCGCCCAUCUGGGUGUAUUUUGCUGCUUGAUUCACAAGCUGGAGAUAUGCCUGUGGGUGAAGAGGGUUAUCUAGAUCUGUCGAGGCAAGUUGUAUCUGUAAAAUCAAGAGGAAGGCUCGAAAUUCUCAUGAAGGCUGGAGAAAUCAGUGGAAGUGUCGUCUUCCCAACCAAAUUCAGCAACAUAAGUCGAGAAAGUUGUGAGCUUGGUAGUUGUGAAGUGGAGAUAACCGUUGCUUGGUCCUUGCUCAUUGAAAACCAGUAUGAUAUCUCGGUGAUGGGAGCCAUACAGCCUUAUGCAUGGGAAUCAAUUCCACGUAGGCCUACCAUGAAGCUUGUUGGCGCUUGCUGAAGAUGUUCACUUGGUGAAGAUGAAGUCAUCCUCUGCAGCGGCAUGCUAGCUAAUUGUACUACUAGCAGUAAUCUGAAAAGGUAUGGGCAAGACAAGGCAGCGUCAGAUGCUGGUUCAGUUUCUGAAAAUGUUUUUUGGCAAAGCAGAGAUAAUCACCGUGCUACCUGAUAUAAGCAGUAUAUAAUCCGGGAUGCGAUUCGGAUUUGACAGGAAGAAUAGGGACCAUGAAAAACACACUGGAUGAGUAGUCUUUCAUGUCAGUAGGAUUGAAGUCUAGCUAGGCCUGAUUAUGAGCGACCAUUCUGCAUUCCAAACAUGUACGUAGGUUCUUCAAUACAAUUAACCGUAUCUUUGUAUAUACAUAGAAAGAAUAUCGUUUACUGAUACAAUUAUCUCUGCUCCGUUUGCAAAGAACAGGGCCUUUCGCUACAUCUUCUGUGUAGAAGAUGCUAGCGUCCUUUGGCCUGACAAGCAUAUGAAUAUAUGAUCCCAGGGCUGGUACUCCUCCAGUUGCUAAAAAUAAUGCUCCAAUUAUUACUUUCGCAUGACCGUUUUAGCAGCACAUGCACAGAGCACAGCACAGGCAAAAUUCAAUCGCACAGCACAGCCCAGUCUUCCUUGAAAAGUAAUGCUUGUAAUGGGCAUCUUAAUCUGGAUACAACUUGCGCUGCCAGCCUUGUAAAGGUAUAAACAUAUUAAGAAGAAUCAUUUUUUUAUACAUCAAUCUUAUCAAUAGAAAAACUUAAUACAGAAGCAGAAAAUAUGGUGAAGCAGUACAUGGAAUUGUAUCGUCAGGCUCUCUGUCUGCGAAUAUCCAAAUCGCCUCUCAUCUAUCUGCUACUCCUUCCGUCCCAUAAUGUAAGACUUUUUUGACACUACACUAGAGUUAAAAAAUGUCUUAUAUUAUGGGACGGAGGAAGUACUUUUGUUCACUACAGAAGGAGCUAGAUAUCGGACAUGGAGUUUGAAGAUAUCUAGUGAAAGUACUCGUGUCAGCACGAGAUCACAUUUGGAAUAGUAAAAUUAAAAUAAAUUGUAGAACGAUUCAAAAAAAUAUAUAAAACUUUUGGCAACAAACAAUGAUGUAUGUUUCACAUGCACGCAAAAUUUCGCGAUGCAAUGACAUUUGUGGAGGUCUCGGCAAAAAAUGGAAGCUCCAAAAUGCUUUAAAAAAUAGUCUUUUAGAGCACCUUUUUUUCAUACCUCCAAGAAUCAUGAAAUUUUGCAUGCAUGUAAGGCACACAUCAGUGUUUGUUGCCAAAUAAUUCAUUUUUUAUUCGUUUUACUAUUUUUUUAAUUUUACUGUUCCAAAGGGUGAAUGUGGAGCUCAUGCUCAGCCCCAAGGCAGGCACAAUAUGUUUCACGCACCAAUUACAGUCUGUCCCUGCAACGACACAGUAUCCGAACCUAGCCCGGUGCCAAAAGAAUAUAAAAAUAACAAUGAUAAAGAAAUAAGGAGAGCUGACAUGCCCAGCGACACACAACAAGCAACAACACCAUAUGUCGCCCUUGACAACACAGGAACUACAAGAAAUGUUUUCCAAAAACAAUGCCUUUGGAAAGGAAAACCUCCCUUCCGUCAGAUCGAACUGUUGAAUAUCCCUCCUUGAGACAUGAUACUCUGAAGAGCGCCGAACAUCAUCAAUGGAUUCAACAUCUUGUGUGCAUGUGGUCUAGAGCCAGUCUGAUAGAGUCUGCCAAGACAGAGGUGUCAAGAUGUGGCAAACCAUGACCACGCCAUCCUAGAGAGACCUCCUAUAUAGCGACCUAUGCGUCAGAAAAAUGUGGAGCACUCACCCCCCCGCACCUCCUCCGUGCGCGCUCAUAGGCCGGGCCAUGUGCGGGGCGGGAUGCCCCUUUGUUUUUUUAAGUUUAAGUUUUUCCUUUUUAAAAAUAAUUCAGGAUUUCAAGAAGUUGUAAAAUGUGGAAAAAAAUCUCGAAUUCAAAAAAUGUUCAGGAAAUGAUAAAUUCCCACAGAUACAAAAAGUUCGUGAUUUUUUGCAAAAUGUUCAAAAUAUUCCAAAAAAUGUUCAGGGUUUUCAACAAAAUGUUCCAUAAAUUAAAAAAAAUGUUCAAAAAAUCAUAAAAUAAUCAUGAACUCAAAAAAUGAUUGUCAAACAAAACAUGUUCCUGAAUUUCAAAAUGUUUGACGGUAAAAUUUUAUUCACGAGUUCCAAUAAAUGUACACAAUUUCAAAAAAACUUCAUGAAUUCAAAAAAUAAUUGCAAUUUGCUUUUCACGAAUUUGUGAAAAAAAUUGUGAAUUUUAAAAAUGUUGAAUAUUUAAAAAAAAUCUUGAAUUUGAAAAACAAAUCAUGAUUUUAAAAAAUGUUCACGAAUUUGGGAAAAUGUUCGUGGAUUAAAAAAUGUUUAAGAUUUCAGAAAAAUGUCCAUGAAUUUGAAUAAAUGUUCACGAUUUAAAAAAUAUUCUUGAAUAUAAAAGAUGUUCGAAAAUUGAAAAAAAUAAAAAUAGUAAAAAGGAAAAAUAAGAAAAAAUAGAAAAAAAUAAUGAAAAUAAGAAAAAAUAAAGAUAAAAAUCGAAAGGAAAAAACAAAAACCCCGAUUCAGAAAUGGGUUGGCCCAUUCAAAAACUUGCGCUUGACGAGGUACGCACUAGGUCGCUUCGUGGCGACCUAUGCGCGGAAUAGGAUACGCUCGUCUCAUAUGUACCGCUUCGAGUUGCUGCCGCUGCUAUCGCAUCGCCACUGCCACAAUCGAAUAAGCCACCGCCCGCCUCGCGAGCCGCCGCACGCCAGAUCCGCAAUGACCUGAGUCUGCCGCCACAAGCACCCGUGCCAUUGCGGUUAAGCAUUGCUAUCAGGGUAAAAUACCGCAUCGUUGUGUCGGAGGAACACGCCACCUCAUGAAAACUAAGGAUAACAUGCGUGUUGCUACUGAAUAAAUAAAUAAAAUAAAUUUUAUUAAUAAUUCAUUAGAUAUGACAUGUAAUUUUCUUGUUCAAGAAACUGAAAACUUUAAUAUAUAAGCAUCUUGCACACAAAAAGGGCAACUAGAUGUACUGAACAGCUGAGUUUUUUUAUUCCUUUGAACAUACUCUAGAAACUCGGUGUCUUGUGUAUUUUACCAAACAUUUCAGAUAACUAACUCUUGUCAUACUGAUGAAGACCAUUGAUAAUUGUGAGGAAAAAAUCAUAAGAUUAAACAAAUCAAUCAAUACAAAGGAAUAAAAGAUGUUUUUAAUACCAUAUGGAUAUGCCUACGAGAAGCUAAUUACUCCAACUGUGACCAUGCCAAAAAAUUAUAGAGAUGGAUGGAGAUAUACAAACGUAGUGACACACACACACACACACCCAUCUUAGCAAAAUGGCGAGAAUGAAUGCACAAGGUACUAGCAUGUAAACAGAUGUUACCUUUGGGGCACUGGUUCGUCUCCGCUUUGUCCAGUUCCUCAUUUGAGAAAUCAAUUCCAAGAAGCCCCCGCCGAAUGUGUGUGGAACGAAGAGAAGCAUUCGGCGGGUAGGAAUGGAGAAAAAAGAGAAUAGAACAUAUGUGUGGUGGAUGGGGUAGAUAGUAGAAUUAUCACAUGAUCUUGUCUCGAAUGCAUGAGCAUUUUUCAGAUACAUGAAUUUAGUUUUUUGUUAUGCAUGAACAUUAUUCUUUACAGAAAUAAUUUCAUUUUCUAACUAAAUUGUAAAAUUAUUACAAAGUCAAUAUAAAUUUGGAGUUUGUGAUGAAAAAACAUUGUGCUGUUAGUGGACCGUGCCGAAUAAGGCUUUGAGGUCCGGUGCACCUGCGAUUCUACUGGGCCGGGCUGAGCGGAGAGUUGGGUCCUCUGCCUUCCCCCCAACGAAGGAAAAUAUCGUGUGUUGCUCAAAAAAAAAGAAGGAAAAUAGCGUGUUCUCCCCCCAAAAAAGGAAAAUAGCGGCGGCGGCGGCGGCGGCAGCCGGAGAAGAAAGGACGGCGGUGAGGGCAGUGAGAUGACGACCGCUGGGAGUUCGAAGACAGGGAGUGUCGAGUCCGAGUUAAGCAAGGAGCUCUAUCAGGCCGCAAUCUGCAUGUAGGAGAGGAUCCGCGCGUUGCAGUCCGCCGGUUGGAUCGGCAAUAAAGGGGAAUCGAUGGAGCCCCAGAGCAAGAUUCGCGACGAGGACGACGAGAUGGAAACCGGAGGGGAGCUUUCGACGGGAAGGAGCAGCGGCGAGUCCCUGCAUCUUGCCGCCGCAGUCGAGACCGAGUGGAGGACCACCGGCGACUCCGACGAGAACUCGGUGUUCAUCCUGGAGGAGACCGUGCACAGAUUGGUUAGCGACAUCAUGCCGGAAUUCGAAGCAAAGGUCGGCGACGUCGCUUCAGUGCUCGAAGCAGAGGAGACCCGGAAAGAGGCACUGGCGGCGCUGAGCUUCGGCUUCAGACUGCAGUUGUUCUCCAAGCAGAUCGACGAGCUGCGGCACGAGAUGUGCAAGUUGCUGAGAUCGUUCUCGCCGGAAAACAAAGAUAUAAGGAGCACCAUGAUCAAGUUUAUCUCCGAGCCGUACCUAGGCCGUAUCUGCAAAUUGCAGUGGAUCUCUGAACGUGUCAGUAUGCUCCAGCGAAUGGACCCAGACUUCGACUCCAAAGUGAAGUCAACAAUCAUCAAGCUGAAAUCGGAAUCCUUCUUGUUAGCCAUGGAGGAGUUGAAGGAGGAGGAGGAGGAGGAGAGCGGUAGUGAAGGAAUCGCCGGAGAAGGUCGUGGAGACCAAGAAGUUUCCAUGGAGAUGGAGGAGAAGAGAUUCGAUUCCUACCGCCGCUGCUGGGAACGUUUAUGGGGCAAUGACCGCAGCUUCGAAGACCAGAGUGAGUAAAACGUGCAUGCUCCUACUUAUCUACUCUUAGUUACUCCAUGUCUCAAGCAAGCUGCAUACUUCAAGUGGAGUAGUUUUCUUCUUUAUACUUACUGCAUGUCUCAAGCAAGCUGAUUCCUUAAAAGUUGGAAUUUACUCCACUUGUAGUACCAUAUUGAUUCUAGUUUAUUCUUCUUGUAUGCGUAAAAGGAUUCUGGCCGCUAUAUAGUUACUUCAUGUUCAAUCUUUAACUCAUACUUAACUUGGAUGCAGCAUUAUUGAGCCCCAUGCUCUUUACACAUUGCACAGCAAGCCGCAUCCCGAGUGAAGCUGUCGCCGGGAGUACCUUGCAGAUCCACUCCAUCAAAAUCUCAACAGCAAAAGAGCUCACAUUGCCACUGGAGGUGUAUGGAGUGGUCGCAGUCCGAGAUGCUGUGGACCGUCAUCGCAACCCUCUAUUUCUUCGUUCAAGAACACAUUGCCAAAUCCUUGAAGAAAAUGUAUGUAUGGUAUUUUCGUGUUCUUGAUCCUUUGUUUGUUGCCUGCAUCCUUGUUGAUUAUGGCAAAUGAUGAUGCUUGCAGGAUUCAUUUUUGCGCUUGAUUGGCCCGGUUCGUGCAAUUGUGUCGACGGAUACUGUUUACAUCGAAAUCCAACUAAAAGUAAAGGGCGCAACAAAAUCUGAAGAUACAACAUUGAUCAGUACAUUCGGCUUUUACAAUGGUGACAGUUCUGGUACCUAUCUCCUGAAAAACAGUUUGUGCACAGUGGAGUUAUGCUAUGAGCAACUUAAACAGUCGGUCCAGGCCACUAUCAUGGGUGUGUUUGUUACACCCAAACAGGAAUCAUUGCCUUUUCCAUAUGGUGGCCGAGUUAUUUGCUCUUCACUGCCUCAGGAUGGUAAUGAAGAUAUCGCUGGGCUUCCAUCUAGGGAAGUCUUGCUGCUUGAUUCGGAAGGUGGAAGAAUGUCUCUGACUAGUAAUGGCUACCUUAGUCUGGCAAGAUGUGUAGUUUCUGUGGAGUUAAAAGGAAAGCUGCAAGUCCUCAUAAUGGCUGAAUCACCAUCACAAAAUGCUGAGAUUGCUGCGCAAUUCCUCUUCACACCCGAAAAAUGCAACAUAAGUAAAGGUGAAUGUUACCUCCCUGAUGGCUCUAAGGUUGAGAUUACUGUUGCUUGGUCCCUCAUUCCCUCGACGAUGCUACAGUCAGGUGACAGUCGUGAGGACAGUGGGAUGGUGACCGGACGAUAUUCAAAGGAAAGGACUGGCGGGUCCAUGUUAAGUGAGGAGGUAUGUAAGGCUGGAAUCUUAAUGCAGGAGAGUAUCCGCUGGGUCCAGGCCCGGGAGGAGAAGCCUUUGAAGGGAAGGAGUGGCGAUGUUGAAUUGUUGAGGAUUGGCAACGAAGGCAGAAUGUUGAAGACACUGAGCAAGAUUGGUGACGGGGGCAAAUUGGUCUCCAAGCAGUUCAUGGAGCCGCUGGUCAAUUUCUCAAUGUCUGUAGCCAGAUCUGUCAGAAACAUGAUUGAGGAGGAGGUAGAGACCGAGGCGGCAGGGGUGGUGCCGAUGGUCGGCUUCAAAUUACAUUUGCUCUCCAGGCAGUUUGAUGAGUUGUGGGACAACAUGGGCCAGCUAGUCUCAACAGAAGCAAAAUUUCUAGCGAUAUGCAUGCUUAUUCAUGAGCCCUUCGCAUGCUAUUGCUCCACACUGAAGUUUAUCUCUGCAGUUUUCAACCGGCUUUGUCAAUGGGUGCCAGAUUUGACAUCGGCAAUGGGAUCGAUAAGGGAACACAAGGAGAUAGAGGACGGGGAUAAGGAUAGGAAGGUUGUGAAUGAGUAUGAGGAGGAGAAGAAGGCUGAGGAGUUCUAUUUCAAUGCCCACCGUGAAAACUGGGAAUUUAGUCGCAGCAACUUUGGCAGCUUUGAAGACCCAAGUGAGUAAAUGUGCUAGUGAUAUGGUCGUAGUUAGUAUGCUUUUCUUCUUCCACUUACUGCAUGUCUCAAGCAAGCGAAUUCGUUCUGUAAGCAUAGGGAUUUACUCUACUCAGAUUGACUCUUCUUUAUUCUUCUUGAAUGUAUAGUAAAAGCAAUCUGUGCACUCUUUAGUUAGUUCACGUUAGAUUUCUAACACAUACUUCACUUGGUUGCAUGCAGCGGUAUUGAGCCCCUUGCUCUUUACCCACUACAUACCAGGCCACACCCAACUGGGUGCUCAAGUCGGGAGGACUAUGCAGGUCUACUCUAUUAAAGUCACAGAAAUAGAAGGCUAUGCCCUUGAGUGGCCACUGAAGGUAUACGGUGUAGUCGCUGCACGAGAUGUUGUCGACUAUCGUCGCAACAUUCUCUUCCUUCGCGCUAGGGAUGACUGCCAAAUCCUCACGAGAAAGGUAUGCACCUGUUCCUUUUCUUAUUCCUUGCAUAUUUGUUAACAAGUUAAUGGAGAAUACUGAUGUUUGCAGGAUUCUUUUUUGCACUUGACUGGCCCUUCUCGUGCAAUUAUGUCUGGUGGCAUAUUGGAGAACAAUGUUACUAUUGAAGUCCACCUAACACUAAAGGACACAGUGGAGUCUAAUGAUAGAACAUUGAUCAGUAAAGCCUUCGUUUAUGACGAAGAUGAUCUUGGUAGUGGUGAUGUUAUUUCUACGCGUCUUCUCCAGGGCCUUUGUUCAAUAGAGUUAUGCUGUGAGCAUCUUGAACAGUCAGUCCAAGCCACUAUCGUCGGUGCUCGUGUUGUAAAGGGCCCAUUGCGUUGUGGCAAUGGCAUCAAGGUCGCUUGCCCCGUUCUACCUGAAGGUAAAACUGAAGGCAGUGUCAAGUGCCCAUCUGGGCGUGUUUUGCUGCUUAGUUCACAAGCUGGGACAGUGCCUGUGGGUGGUUAUCUAGAUCUGUCAAGGCAAGCUGUAUCCGUAAAAUCAAGAGGAAGACUUGAAAUUCUCAUACAGGCCGGAGAAAUCAGUGGAAGUGUCGUCUUCAAAGCUGAAGACAGCAGCAUAAGUCGAGAAAGAUGUCGUCUUGGUGAUUGUGAAGUGGAGGUAACUGUUGCUUGGUCCCUCCUUGUUGAAAACCAGCAUGAUAUCUCGGUGAUGGGGUAUAUAGCGCCUUACGCAGAAGAAUUAAUUCCACCUUUACCCGUCAUGAAGCUUUAUAGAGGCCCUCGGUGAUGAUGAAGCCAUGCAUCUGAUAUCGUGUUUACUGUUCCAUCAUGAACUUGUCUGCUAAUUCAUGUACUAUGAUAUACUACCUAGAUACAUCCGUUUGAGCGACAAGUAUUUCCAGAUGGAGGGAGUACAACACUAGUAUAUGCUCGUUUUUCUUAACUAUGGUCUUGUGUGUACUAUGAUACAAGACAAAGCCUAUGUAUAUAUUGCUGUUAUGCACAUAUAUGGUGUUGUUGUUGAGCUAGGUAAGCCUACUUUGGAAUUUCUAGCUUAUUGGUGGAGCAUCUUAUUGGUGGAUUGUAUGCCAAUUUACACUUGUUUGGAAACCUGUUGAUUCAUCAUGGAUCUGGAGAUGUAGCCUUGUGCUUUCCUCUAGGUUGUAUUGCUAGAACCUAGCCGACAAUAAAGGAUAACCGUUUUUUUACGAAUAAUAAAGGAUAAAAGUUGAAAUGCG
rnacentral:lncRNA from 1 species